AGCAAAUGCAAAUCACUCAAUUAAAUCAGUCAAACAACCAGUUUAAUAACAGGUAGAGAUUUGUGGCCUGAGGAGAACAUGAAUUAAUUAUGAAAAAUUGACAAAGAAACCAAAAUUAAGAAGCAAUGGCCUAAGUUCUGCCAAACUCAGAGAUAGUCUAUGACUCAGACAGACUGGUUCACCAGCUUCUUGACAAGAAAACUCCAGUCAGACAUGAUUCUGGUUCAGCUUGACCUGACCCGCUUCAGCUUUGUCCUGGGAAGAUCAUAAAUCAUGAUGAAAACAUUGCCCAGUCCUUGUUCCCAUUACCUCUUUGCCAGAUCCACACAAGUUGCCAAGGGACUGAUUUAUCAGAUUGUUGUUAUGAGGACGGCUAAUGCCACAUUCAUCGUGCCAGGUAGUAUCUGUACCCAAGAUCCUCCCUAGGAAAAAGCAGCAAGAGUUGAAGUUCCGAGAACUAAGAGGAAACUAUGACCUAAAAGAGGUCACCUAUGACCACGGGUCAGCUAGGUGUGAAUGAAAAAUUAUUCUGCUGAUUUAUGAAGUGGAAAAU
rnacentral:lncRNA from 1 species